rnacentral:lncRNA from 1 species
CACACGACCCUGUGUAUCCACAGAGGGUGAAAAGUUUGCAUGUAAACCAUGUCAGUGUCAUUUACAAAAAUUACAGCUUUUAAAAUAUCUAAGAUGUAUUCGAACAUUAGAAACAGAUGGUGGUGUAUCCUUGGAGCACUUCCAUGAGAGUGUUUUUAAAAACAUUAGUCCAAUAUUGACUGGAUGCUGAUUUAUGUCAAGAAAAAAAUGUUAGGUUCCCUGUGGAAUACAAAGUCAAAGACAGCUAGCUAGGUAGAGCAGGUGAGAAAAAUGCUACAAUUCAGGAAGGGAUUCGUGUACACAAACAAAGAAAGUAACUUUGAGUACAAAUGGGGGGGUGGGUGACCUCUUCUGGCCAGGAAAACAGGGAGGAGAAGACAUUUACAGAGGACUUUGAGGACACAUAGGACUUGGAGUUUUAUUUUAUUUUAUUUAUUUUAUUUUUUUUGUCUUUUUAGGGCCACACCCACAACAUAGGGAGGUUCCCAGGCUAGGGGUCCAGUUGGAGCUAUAGCUGCCAGCCUACACCACAGUCACAGCAACGACAGAUCCAGUGCCAAGGGGAAAUACCGAAGCUAUCACUACCCUCUUAAACAGAUUGUCUCCUUCAUUAAUAAAUUAGCUCUAUAUACAUUUAAAAAUAUGAUCCAUUCUUAAUAGACUCAAAAGAUCGUUUUCAUAUAUUUAAAUUUGCCUGGGAUUUCUUUCAAAGUCAUUACUGCCAAACAGUGAUUUACUUGUUCUUUAGACCUUUCCAGUGAUACUUUGCCCAAACUGGCUGCCACUUUAAGACCUACCUGCAUCAUAAAUUUGCCCUGAACCUGACCUCAGCAAGAAUUACAGCCAUGCAUUUGUUCACUUGCUCACCCUGGUGUAUUCAACACCAAUUUACAUGCCAGGUCCUGGUGAGUUCUAGGCACCCAGCAGUGAACAAGUCCAAACUGGACAGGUGAAUUGAAUGCCUGGAAACCACCUGAAGUUCUUAUCAUUAAACUGUAUUUAAAAGAUAACAAUGCAACUUGCACUACAAACUGAUAACAGCGUAGUGCGUAUACCUCCCAACUUUUACAUUUUAACAGGGAUCAAAGCUUUGCCUCGAACUGCAGUGUGUAAGGGGAAUUGUGGUUUGAGACUUGGGACUUUUCCAGCUUAUAUGGCUUAUUACGCAGCAGGGUUGGUACUGUCCUAUCGGUCCUUUGAGGUGAGGACUGGAUCUGAUAAUAUUCCUCCCAGGAAGGCAGCUUAGAGAAAACCCCACUGCACAGGAAAAUCAGUUUGCUAUCCCAUAGCGGAAAAGAGCUCUUGUUGCAAGAGGUUUUGCCUUUUUGAGGGGCCAGAGAGCCGAGCACAGAAAGGGGAGUACAGCCCAGUGCACCGGGCACCCUGCUGUUGGUUGUUGGGCAAGUCACUUAAACCCCUUCCAGGCAUCUGUGAAAAAGGGUGAUCAUGAUAACAGUCCUUAAAGGAUUGUUGAGGGUCAAAUAAGUUAAUAUCUACAGACAGUUUAGAAUUGUGCCUGCCAUAGAAUCAGCAUAUAUUAACGUUAGCUAUUAUUUCUUUUUGCUGUUUUCGUUUUGGCAGUUUGUUGAUUUUCUGAGAAUAUGUAGGAGAUCUAGAGUAAGAGCGGAUAAGGAGAUAGUUCAAGUGAGAGUGGUUAAUUCCUUCUUUCCCCUCCUCAGACUCCCCCACCUCCUACCCUACAGACCCUAGAGUUAUUUGUUUUGUAUGGCAGUAACAUCAUAUUUGAAUGUAUGACCUUGAAAAAUUCUGAUUAAGUAGUUCUGGGCAAAGCUCUAAUGGUUGGAAAAUAACUCAGGCCUCCCACACAUACCUGCUCAGCCAAGAAUUUGUUUGCCCCAGGAACCGUGGGUGGGCGGGAGUGGAAGCAAAGCACACACCCAAGCUUAUGUGAACGCUCUGUUCUGGCUUGAGACCCCAGUGUCACCCUUCUCCCUAUGCUCCCCAGUGCUUUCUGGUCAUUUCUUUUCAUGCUCAAUUGUAGAGAAAUAAGUGUUUUUGUUAUUUUUUUUUUUUUUGUAAUGCUUUUUCUUUUUUCUUUCCCCGACUCCAGGGAACUUCCAUUUCCCCCCUCCCUGCCUGUUUGUUCUCUAAACUUGGGCGCUUUAUUUGUUCCUUAAUAUUGCACUUGUGCAGAUUUCUCCAAAAGCCCAGAAGGCAAGGUGCAAUGUAAGACGAUGAACUUUAGGGCUCCCUGCAUGGAUCCCGGGUUUCAGGGUCUGCGGCAAGGCCCUCUGGAAGUGCCCUGGAAUUUUCUGUUGGUUCUUGUAACCAGGGCGAGAGACCCCCUGGCUUUGCACUGGGGCCUCUCACAGGUACUCCUGCAGGCUUUCUCCUGUCUGCAUCCUGGGGAGACUGGUGAGGGGGCUUCAGCACAGUCCUGCAGAGAGGGGCUUGUUUUCCUGUUCCUGUGAAAUAUGCCACGUUGGAACCUCUGGUCUGCAUGACCUUUAGUUAUUGGUUCCUGGCUUGGUUCAUAUUUUUCCUUUUAGUCUAUUUAACAUGUAAUCCCAUUGUCCUGGUUACGUCCUGUCAUGGAGCAGGUGUGUUCUUUUUCUGAGCAUGAGAGCAGGCCUGUAUUGGGGCCUGCCCUGUGGGAGGCAGUCUGGGAAGGGGUGGGAAGAGGCCUCAGGCCCCCGGAAAUCUCUGUGAGAGCAAAGCCUAGAAAGUUACUUAACCUCUCUGAGCCUGCAUACUCACACCUUGCCCAAGUGAAAUUUCCUUGGCUUGUUCUAAAGGUGAACCGAAAAUUGCAUGGGAUGUAGCCAGCUCGCAGUAACCACUCUUUUCCCUCUGUUUCCUUCUUGGGUUACGGAACCCAGGCUUAUGGUGGGGAUACUAGGUACUGGGAGAAUUCUUCCUAGCAAGCUGACCAGGCCUCAAGAUGGGGGGACUGAUCUUUGGGAGGCCUUUGCCCUUCAAUCAGGAUGCAGGUGGGUCUUCCUUAAAGAGGCAUCCUUCUUUUUGGCCAGCUGAGGAAUUUGGGGGAGGCAGCAAAAACCCACUUUAAAUUUUGCCAUUUAUUUCUCCUCUGGUUUGCUCAAAUAAGGGAAGAACUGACAAAAUGAAAAGUAGAAUUUUUGUUUUGACAAUUAAACCCUAUGGACAAACAGCCUCAAAUCAAGACAUCCUGUUUGUCGGCUUGUUCUCUGGUCUCUCCUGCGAUAACCAGCCUGGACGGGUAGUGCUGUGCUCAGGGCUCUGCGUGCGCAUUUUCACGUUGAAGCAGAUCCGUGUCCUCUGUCAGUCAGCCCAGACCACCUCUUAUUUCCAUGGCGAAACCUGUUGGGUAGAAGGAAAUCAGUAUGACAAAAAGCUGCAUCUGGCCAGUUUGCUGUACCAUCCUGCCCUCUUCUAUUUUAUAGAUGUAGCAUUUUUUGGUGAAAAGAUAUGCUAAUAUAAGUUUAUCGACUGUAUGACUUGAUGUUAGGCCAGAAAAUGUCAGCUAAGUCCUUUGAAAUGAUGUUAUCUCAAAGCUGUCUUUUUUUUUUAAGUCCCCUGAAGUGCAAUAACGACCUUCAUUCAUUCCUAGACUCUUAGGUUCUCAUUUUGGGACAGUCUACUAUGCUUCCCUUUAUAAAAGGAAAUGGGCAGCAGUUCAUAUGCACAUCCCCUGCCACCCACUGCGAGGAGGCUGGGCCUCUGUGUCAGCCUCACCCCUUAGCCUCUGGAAUUGGCCAGGUUGGUGCCCACAGAGCCCAGACCGUUCUGUUGCCACCCAGGGCAGCAGCACGGGAAAGAAAGUGGGCCUGAAGGAAGUGGGCUGUUGAGGAGGCAGGGGUGGGAAUGUGUCUGUCGUCGUAUGCGUGGGAGAGGGCAAAAAGGAGAGAGAGCAUGUCGGAGCUCCUGCAGAGCCAGGUCUGUGGGACAGUUUUCUGGCCUCAGGUUUGGGUUCACCUGUUGUCAUCUGCUCUUUGGGAAGGGUGCUGGUGUGGUGUAUAGAAAUUCUCCCAAAUAGUAAUUACGAUUGUUUCUGUAGUUCCCAGAUGUAGGCACCUGCCUGUCACUCCCCCGAGACGCCCCAAUCAGAACGGCCCUUCACGUGAGUGGCCGCGGAGCACAUACUUGUCAUGUUUAGAGGAUUAGAGGGGUGAAGUAAAGAGCAGAUUAACUUGGGUGUAGAUUCUUAGGAACGAGAGAACGAGUGGCAAAGGUUUGCGUGAAUUGGGAAAGGUGUGAAGACACAGUUCUCCUUCUGGUUUACAGAGUUCUAACCUGACGGCUUACAAAGUGUUGCUGGGGUGUUUUGUCGGCAGUAGCCUGGUACUUGCUUUAGUGAUACACAUCUCCCACAUUUGAAGGAAAUGCCAUGGCCACAUUUUCGGUAGGCUUCCCGGUAAUUAUGAAAAAAAAAUUUUAAUGUGAAAACUUUGGGGAAAAGUAUUUAUAUUACUGAGUAGCACAUGUGUAAAUGUGUGUAUUUAGAUACAUAAAUAAAAACAAAAUAUUGGGACUAUUUCUAAACAGCUGUUAACAAAAAUUAGAUCAUGUAUAAAAUGGUAAACCUUAACGGAUGCCCCAGUAAUUCAUGUCUUUCUGCGUAGAACAGGUUCAUUCAGACUAGCUUCCCUCCCAGCGCCAGCAUUCCCUCUGCAGGGUGCCUGAGAGAUGACAGUUUCAGCAUCACCUUCUCUUCACUUCCUUCCUUCCUUUACUUUUCAGCUGAUGUGUUCUGAGGCCAGGUCUCUAUAGGAGGCAUUGCAGGUACACAGAUGAGUACCUGUAAUUUUGCCCUCAAAGGCCCCCCAGUCUAAAAGUAUGUACCAGAGUGAGGUUGUGCAGGGAAGAGGUAUGCGAAGUUAUUGGAUGAGGAGCAGGCUCUUGACCUGUUGAGAGGAUGUGAGACAGCCUAGGAUUCACAGAGGAGAUUGUGUGGAAGCUGAGAUUUCAAGUCUGAAGUGGUGGCCUAGCAAUGAAAAAGCUUUCCAGAUACGGUACUUCUGAUGCAUGAGAGUCAUGAAACUACGUUCAGGGAGUGGCGUGCAGCCUGGCAUAGCACGAUGUUUGGUGCUGGGGAAGAGCAGGGUAGCAGGCUAAGGCUGUCUCAGGAGUGAUGGGAGUCACUGCUUUGCAAAAAAAGAAGAAGUGCUGUGGCUGAGAAGUCUGUUAGAAGGUGUGUCCUUGUAUUGUGCCAAGACUGUCUCCUUUUCUGCUUUGCCUUUGGGUUCAAGCCGCAGGAGGAGCAGAGUGGGCCUGCCUGCUCUUUGCCACCUGCCUUUAUUAUAUGUGAGUGGUAUUUUGCUUCUUUAAAUCUUGCCCCAAAUUGUGUAUGCCUUUAUUUGUCCUUCUUGGUAGGUUUUGGUUAGUAGUUUGUUUCUUUAAUGUAGCCCAAUGAGAAUUCCAGUUGGUCCUUUUAAAUUCUGCACGUGAUUGUGAUCUAGACGGAGCUCCCAAAUCUUCAGAGCAGCUACUGCUGCUGUAUCCUCUUCUUUUAGCCUCCUUUCUGCCAUGUUCCUCCCUCUGUGGUUUUAUAGGAUCACAGAGGGUGGGAAGCAAAUCAGGGGUAACAGUCCAGCAUCUCCUCCGAGUCUUCCUCACCACACCAUCUCCUUUCGGGGAUCUCAGGGCUUUAGAGAAACAGAAAGGAGGCCUUUCGUACAUGUGUGCUGGGGAUCCUUGUCCUAGAGGAACAGCUUUUGCUUUUUUUUUUUUUUUUUUAGCAAUCUCACCACUGUUUUUGUAUACUUUAGUUAUUUAUUUAAUUUAUUUUGUCUUUUUGUUUUAGGGCCGCACACAUGGCACAUGGAGGUUCCCAUGCCAGGGGUCUAAUUGGAGCUAAAGCUGCAGGCCUGAACUAAAAUAAAUAGCUCAGAAGUUAAGGGUUGAAAAAGGCACUCUAAAGCUCAGGUUACGUUUUCAUAUGAAUUGUCUGUAAUUAGAAAAUAUCAGGUUCUAGUAGUUCCCACUGUGGCUUUGAGGUAACAAUCCUGAGUAGUAGCCAUGAGGUUGCAGGUCCAAUCCCUGGCCUCGCUCAAUGGGUUAAGGAUCCGGCGUUGCCACGAGGUGCGGUGUAGGUCGCAGACAUGGCUUGGAUCUGGCGUUGCUGUGGCUGUGGUAUAGGACAGCAGCUGCAGCUCUGACUCGACCCCUAGCCUGGGAACUUCCAUAUGCAGCCCUAAAAAAAAAAAAAAGGCAGAAAAUAUGAGGUUCUGAAUGAGAGAUUUGGCCAUGUGUGUAAUAUGAGACCCUCUGUCUGAGUGUGCAGGGCAUAGGUGCUAGAGAGAUUCUCGAGGGCUCAUUUCUAAGGCUGGUUGUUGGUGGAAGCGGGUGAUGUCAGUUCUCGUAAGCAGUCAUUCGUCACCCACUCUUACCCCUUAUUACAAAACGUGUACUUUCCCAGCCAGUGCCAUGGCUGUCUGUGGAUGAAUCUGUUCACAAGAAAGUAUGAGAUGGAAAAGGCUCAGUAAUUUUGGUUCCUUCACACCCUCGCCUAAUGCUGAAGCUGGGAGUUAUCUCUCGCCACAGUGCUGUGUGGGGCCCAUUCUUCUAUGUGGGGAGAGGAUGAGCAAAGGAAAGGGAGAAUAAAAGGAGAACCUGACAUGGUUUCAGAUCUAAUCAGUUAUCUAAGGAUGCUCCAGAAGAGCCUGUGAUGUAAUUUAUCCUACCCAUGGAGGGCACAUCCUUAUUUUUAAUAGAAAACUGUCAAAUGCAGUUGUUUCAGACUCUGUCAGUGGCACUUAGAAAGGGAAUUGUGGGGAUAGGGAAAAGAGGGAGGCUAAUCAGUAUGCUACCACGUAUACUCAAAUCGUGGUCCACAGAGGCAUCCACAUCACCAGAGACCCUACUAGAAAUGCAGAGUCUCAGGCCCCAGCCCAGAGCUUCUGAAUCAGAGUCUGCGUCUUAACAGACACCCCCCCCCCCCAGCAAUUCCUUUGCACGUUGAAAUUUGAAAAGGACCACCCUGGUAGCUGAUGGCAGUACCUGGUUCAACACAAGCAACUGGCCUGUCUUAGCACAUUUUGAGAAAAGCUGAACAAAUAAGGCAUAUCAGCCAAAAGUAUUAAAUGUUGAGAAUCAGAGAGUUUAGUUUUUUGUCACUGUUGACUAAACAGCAACAUUCUGUUUGGGGGGACGGGGGAGGGGGUUCUUUUCACCGUGAAGAUGAUGCGCCCCAUGGCUUGAUGAUAGCAAGUGGAGAGCUGCCUCCCUGCCCUAGAGUGUUUUGUGAUNNNNNNNNNNNNNNNNNNNNNNNNNNNNNNNNNNNCUUCCCCCCCCCCCAUUAGCCAACAGAGCAGAGAAUAAAAAGAACACUUUGUUUAUUUUUUUUCCAGAAUUCAUCACGUCCAUUUUUUUGCUUUACGUCGUGUUAUCAUUAUGGGUUUCUCGGGGGGAAAUGUCUGGGCAGAAAAGCGUGGCUUUCCUUAGUGAUGUGCAAACAUUUCUCCUGGGCUAAACUCAAACUGGCACAGCUGACAAAGAUCAGGGAUGGACCAUAUUGGCCAAAGCCUGGUUUUAAGAAUACCUGUGUUUGGUGUUUAUCCUGUUGUACAUCAACACAUUGUCAAGUGGAAAAUCUUUGUGUUAAAUAGUCAUUAACCACUGUGGCUGCAUGUAUUCAGUGAUCUUUCCCCUUACUUAGAGAAGCCUUCAUUUUCAGGGUAAACCAAAAAAUGCUAAUAUAUAGUGGUGACCAGUAUCACAAGUACUUGGAUGUUCAAUUCUUUUAUAAUGUGAUGCAGUGAUUUUUUUGUGUGUCUGUUUGAUCUUUUCCACUGUCUGUGAUGAUCAUAUAUUACUUUCAUGUAGAUAAAAAUCCAGUAAGUUUUCUUUUAUAAAAGUAAGAAUUAAACAAACAGGAGUUCCCGCCAUGGUGCAGCAGAAGCAAAUCUGACUAGGAACCAUGAGGUUGCAGAUUCGAUCCCUGGCCUCACUCAACGGGUUAAGGAUCCGGCGUUACUGUGAGCUGUGGUGUAGGUCGCAGAUGCGGCUUGGAUCCUGCAUUGCUGUGGCUGUGGUACAGGCUGGUGGCUACAGCUCUGAUUAGACCACUAGCCUGGGACUCUCCAUGUGCUCUGGGUGUGGCC